rnacentral:piRNA from 1 species
UUAAUACGUACGGAUGCUACUCUA